UGCUUGGAGCCAGCAGAAGAAUUAAGUUCAGCCUCAAGAGCUGAGAAUUUCUUCUUCCACAUGUCGAUCUCCUUCUCCCGUCCGAUGAUCAACCCUUCGUAAUGUUCGAUCAUGUCGUUAAAUUCGCUCUGGGCCUGACAUUAUACAUGAACCAAGGAUGGUGAGUCAGUUCGCAGAAUGGCAAUGCAAAAAAAAAAAAAAAAAGAAGAAAAGAAAGCGGAACUAACCCGAGAUGAGUGGUGCG
rnacentral:lncRNA from 1 species